rnacentral:rRNA from 1 species
GGUUAAGCGAAUAAGCGUACACGGUGGAUGCCUAGGCAGUCAGAGGCGAUGAAGGACGUGCUAAUCUGCGAUAAGCGCCGGUAAGGUGAUAUGAACCGUUAUAACCGGCGAUUUCCGAAUGGGGAAACCCAGUGUGAUCCGUCACACUAUCAUUACCUGAAUACAUAGGGUAAUGAAGCGAACCGGGAGAACUGAAACAUCUAAGUACCCCGAGGAAAAGAAAUCAAACGAGAUUCCCCCAGUAGCGGCGAGCGAACGGGGAGCAGCCCAGAACCUUAAUCACUAUCAGCAUCAGGAGAACAGUCUGGAAAGGCUGGCCACAGCAGGUGAUAGCCCUGUAUCCGAAGGUGUUGGUAGUGUGAGU